rnacentral:rRNA from 1 species
CAUGUGUUAGCAAGGGCCGGGCAAGACCGGUGCCAGCCGCCGCGGUAACACCGGCGGCCCGAGUGGUGAUCACUAUUAUUGGGUCUAAAGGGUCCGUAGCCGGUUUGAUCAGUCUUCCGGGAAAUCUGACAGCUCAACUGUUAGGCUUCCGGGAGAUACUGUCAGACUUGGGACCGGGAGAGGUAAGAGGUACUACAGGGGUAGGAGUGAAAUCUUGUAAUCCCUGUGGGACCACCAGUGGCGAAGGCGUCUUACCAGAACGGGUCCGACGGUGAGGGACGAAAGCUGGGGGCACGAACCGGAUUAGAUACCCGGGUAGUCCCAGCCGUAAACGAUGCUCGCUAGGUGUCAGGGACGGUGCGACCGUUUCUGGUGCCGCAGGGAAGCCGUGAAGCGAGCCACCUGGAAAGUACGGCCGCAAGGCUGAAACUUAAAGGAUUGGCGGGGAGCUCUACA